rnacentral:rRNA from 1 species
UAUGUGAUCGUCUCUCGCAUAUCAAUAAGCGGAGGAAAAGAAACUAACAAGGAUUCCCCUAGUAACGGCGAGUGAAGCGGGAAGAGCUCAAAUUUGAAAUCUUAAAGGGUUUCCCUUUACGAAUUGUAGUUUAAAGAAGUGUUUUCUGUUGAGGUUUUGGUAAAAGUUCUUUGGAAUAGGACAUCAUAGAGGGUGAGAAUCCCGUAUUUGACCUUUACUUUCAACUUUGUGAUACACUUUCAAAGAGUCGGAUUGUUUGGGAAUGCAGUCCAAAAUGGGUGGUAAAUUUCAUCUAAAGCUAAAUAUUGGCGAGAGACCGAUAGCGAACAAGGUACCGUGAGGGAAAGAUGAAAAGAACUUUGAAAAGAGAGUUAAACAGUACGUGAAAUUGUCAAAAGGGAAGCGUUUGACACCAGUGUUGUUUUUCUGAAAAUCAAUUAAAGAACUGUUUAUGCUAAGCUGUUUAGACUUUAUCAGCUAUCUGUUUAGUUUUGAGCUUUUCUUUAAUGCACUUUUCAGUUAACAAGUCAACAUCAAUUUCUUUUGCUGUAAAAAAGCUUGAGGAAGGUGGCUUGAGAUCCGUCUUAAGUGUUUAUAGCCUCUUGCCUAUGCAGUCAGGAGAGAUUGAGGUCUGCAGCGUAGAUCCUUCGGGGCUAAAUGCAUUUGUGCUAAGUUAUAGCAUUUUAUAGACAACUUGUUGACUAUGAUUUGUCUUGUAGCUUACUCGCUUAUGUUAUUUUACCUACGCUUAGGAUGUUGAACGCGCACAGAGUCUC